AUUUUAAUAAUUUAAAUAAAAUAUUGGUCUUGUAAACCAAAAAUAAGAUCCUUUCUUUUAAAAUA
rnacentral:tRNA from 1 species